rnacentral:lncRNA from 1 species
AUUAGAUGAACUGAAAAAUGCGUGUCUGUUACAGAUCAUUUGUCAAGAAGGUAGUUUGAAUGAAUAUGUCAAAAUGCAUGACCUCAUUAGGGAUAUGGCAAUAGCUGUUACAAGAGUGAAUCCACUGUUUAUGAUCCGAGCAGGGAAUGGAAAUGUUACGCAAUCUGAAGCAUUUGGAUCUCUCCUACACUACUGUUGAUGGAUUUGAUAUUUUUAUGAUCCGAGCAGGAAGUGGAAUUCGUGUCCCACCAGUUGAGAACGAAUGGCUCGUAGGCCUUGAAAGAAUCUCGUUAAUGAGAAAUGAUUUGAGCUCUUUGAGUUUUGAACCGAGAUGCCCUCAGCUAACUACCUU